UGAGAAGUCUACAUUUUUUGCUACCUUUAUUCGUAUUACACUACAAGUAGAGCAACACUUGGGCGGGUCGCUUUCGAUAUCGUUUAUGGUUGUUACCAAUGUCGAGGGUCGACUUGUCGGUUAUGUAACUUUUUAUACAUGUUAUAUGUUAUAAUAUUCCUACGUGUGCAAAAUGGGGACGAGAUCUUUCCGUUGUCAGAGAGAACUGACCAACAUCACAGAUCAGUGCAGUGAAAGUGAAAAUGAAGAAGAAAGGACAAUGUUUAAUGAGAAAACGAGAAUUAUUUACUUCCCUCCGUCAACUGAUGCAUUGAGCGAUGAAGAGAAAAUUGAUGAUUGACUCGACGCUCUUUUCGUAUACUAAAAUCGAUAUUGCAUCUGAUGGACAACAUAGCGUAGACAAGUUAGACAGAUUUGGCAAAGUUCGACCUCUGAUGGAUUUAUGAUAUUAAACACUAAAUACAAGAAGUGAGGAUUUUUGCUACGCAUUUGAUGAACAGAUGAUUUCGUAUUUUGGGCGUCACAACUGCAAAAUGUUCAUAAGAGGGAAUCAAAUUCGCUUCGGCUUCAAACUGUGGUGUCUCUAUUUCGAUUCAGGAUUUCUUUUCAAUGGCAUUCUGUACGCUAGUAAUGGGAGUUCAUACAAUAAAAAUGUGAGAUUCGGUGCGUCGGUAAUUUUCUCUAUGAUCGACUCCAUCGAAGAUCCGGAGAUUCAUUUGUUUUACAUGAACGACUUUUUUACAUAAUAUUAUUCCGAGAUUUGGGAAAUCGGCACUGUGAGAUCAAGCCGGCUGAGAGCAGCGAACAAUGUACUAGCAACACGGACAAAAUUAAAGAAACAUUCGUACAACACGUGUUUCGAAAACACCAACAAGAUAUUUGUCUGUCGCUGAAUGGACAAUUCUAUAGUGACACUCGCUUCAAACUUCAUCGAAGCUGAGACAACACAAAAAGCUUCCCGGUAUUCGGCAGAAAAAAUAAAAUCAAAAUCCCUCCACAUCGAAUUAUUUGCGAAUACAACGACCAUAUGGGAGAAGUAGAUUUGUACAACAAUGCAGUCUCAAACUACCGAAUGGACAUACGAGAAAGAAAGUGAUGGUAGCCACUGAUCACGAAUUGUCUCAACACUGCCUCAGUUAAUCCAUGGAAGAUCCACUUUCUCAUCACUAAGACAAAUUAGUCUAUAUCUCUCAUCCAAAUCGAAUUCAAUCGUGACGCGAGCUCUCUUGACGUUCAUUGAAAAACAGCAAGCGGAAUCAGAAGAUGUGUAAUUGGAUUCAGAUGCUGAAGAGGAGGAAAAACCACGAAAACUUUCUCCAAUCAACAUCCGAGAACACGUUAUCUGCGAAAACAUAAAUAUUUAUUUCUAUUAUAGUAGUCCUGAACAAUUGUUAUUUGUCGAGCGAUGCGCCCUAGAUACCGGAGAAAUAUGAUUUCAAAACUAAGUGAAA